rnacentral:lncRNA from 1 species
AAAAACCAUAAACAAAGCAAUGGUUGUUUGCUCUCCCUCAAGGGCUUCUGAUCUCAUCCAUGUAAGGACCAUGGGUUAUCAAGGGGUGAGAUUAGGUAUAUUAAGUGGAGCGUAUAGUUUGUUUUAUCAACGAGACCAGCAGCAAAUUUUUCGUGCGAGCUCCUUGCUGGUUCGCAAGAAUUGGCUUGCGAGCUUGUCUAUUUGUAUGCAAACCGUCUUGUCAUAGGUGAGUAAAAGUAUAAUUAUAAGUAAAUAAUAAUAAUAAAUAAAAAUUGGUGAUCCGAGCUUGUGUGGUGGGCCUAGUCAAGCUUAACUGAGUUCAUUUAACACUCCUAGGUGAGGCUAGAGGCUCUUUGAGGGAGAGAUAACAAACCUUGUUUUGCAUUCAUUACAAUGAAGAAGGUGGAAAUAAAGUACUGAAUCCAACUCUUAUUCGACAUUGAGGUAAGAAUUAUGCAUACUCAUCUAGUUCCAAGAAAAUGUACGGAAAUCAAGGUACUUUUUCUUAUUUAUGACAAAUUGUCCACACGUGCUCUACUUAAAAUGUAAUUGUGAGAAUUUUAUUUACCCAAGUGUAGAUACUCAUCAUUUUUAUUUUUUUUGGUGCUUCUUCGUGUAAUAUUUUAUGUGUCUAAUCUUCGAUAGAAGUCAUGAGCCAAAAUUUCGCAGGGUGGAGCUUCCAGCUUUUGCAAGUGAUUCAACUUGCACAAGUUCACACAUGCAAGUUGCCAUAAUAUAUUUUGUAAGUUGAAUUAGAUAGAAGAGAACUAAAUUAAUGACUAAUUUGCCAUGUGUAUAUUUCAUUAAAAUGAUUAUGUGCUUCUUUGAGAAAGUUUAAAAAGUUGAUAUCAAAAUUUGAUAAGUUGUUCCAAAAAAAACUGUCAAAAUUGAACAUGUGUACAUUUUUUUAUUAUUCUUUUCAGAGUCUCCAUCAAGCAAAACAAGUAGUAAGAAAAGGUCAAUUACACGCAGUUAUAUUACAGACUUUAGUGUGGAUAUGUUCACUACAGAAACAAUCUACUGCUAUUGAAGAUUAUCAACGAUGUAUGGCAACCGAUUGAAUAUGAGUAAAUUAUAAUUUGUUUAUAACCUACAAUUGAUUCUAACAAUCUGUAUUUCAUUUUUGAUAGCAUUAUUAUGUUACACGUAACAUUGCCAAGUUAGGACCAAUUAUGUAUUGUACAAUCUAAAUGUUUAGAGACAUAAAGUUUAAUGCUUGUGAUGCAAAAUCAAGUACUCUGAACUUCUAUCAUGUUAUUAAUUUCAAUAAUACUUGCUUGAACAAAUGUCUCGAAAUUCAAAAGACGGUAUGUUUAUAAACAUCAAUGAACAUCUAAUAAACUCUGGGAUGACAUCGAUGAACAAUUUCUUGAAAUCCAUUGAUAUCACAUGCAAAAUUAUAAACAUUAUUAGGGUGUAAAAAUGGGCAUGGUUUAAGUUCGGCACACUAAACUCGAGCCAUGACACAGUACGACCUUAGACUUUCUAUGACCAUUUGAGCCACCUCAUGAGAGCCUCAUUUAGAAAUAAUAAACAAAAUGAUGGGAAAAUAAUUUUUGUUAUAAAUUGUAAGUUUAUUA